AGUGAACGCUGGCGGUAGGCCUAACACAUGCAAGUCGAACGGCAGCACAGGAGAGCUUGCUCUCUGGGUGGCGAGUGGCGGACGGGUGAGGAAUACAUCGGAAUCUACUCUGUCGUGGGGGAUAACGUAGGGAAACUUACGCUAAUACCGCAUACGACCUACGGGUGAAAGCAGGGGACCUUCGGGCCUUGCGCGAUUGAAUGAGCCGAUGUCGGAUUAGCUAGUUGGCGGGGGAAAGGCCCACCAAGGCGACGAUCCGUAGCUGGUCUGAGGGGGUGAGCAGCCACACUGGAACUGAGGCACAGUCCAGAAUCCUACGGGAGGCAGCAGUGGGGAAUAUUGGACAAUGGGCGCAAGCCUGAUCCAGCCAUACCGCGUGGGUGAAGAAGGCCUUCGGGUUGUAAAGCCCUUUUGUUGGGAAAGAAAUCCAGCUGGCUAAUACCCGGUUGGGAUGACGGUACCCAAAGAAUAAGCACCGGCUAACUUCGUGCCAGCCGCCGCGGUAA
rnacentral:rRNA from 1 species